rnacentral:rRNA from 1 species
UACGUAGGGUGCGAGCGUUAAUCGGAAUUACUGGGCGUAAAGCGUGCGCAGGCGGUUUUGUAAGCCAGAUGUGAAAUCCCCGGGCUUAACCUGGGAAUGGCAUUUGGGACUGCAAGGCUUGAGUGCGGCAGAGGAGACUGGAAUUCCUGGUGUAGCAGUGAAAUGCGUAGAUAUCAGGAGGAAUACCGAUGGCGAAGGCAGGUCUCUGAGCUGACACUGACGCUCAUGCACGAAAGCGUGGGGAGCAAACAGG